AAUCAACAAAUCUUGUUUGCAAUCAAUGGCCCACAUUUGUGAGAGUAUUUUGUAAUAUAGUAUCUCAUAGAAAAUGUUGAUUCUGAAAGGAAACUAAAGGUUUUCUGACAAAUGUAGUGGGGUGUACUCAUUUAUGCUGAGCACUGUAUAUAUAUGGUGGUGCAGUGGUUAACACUGUUGCCUCACACCUCUGGGACCCAGGUUCGAGUCUCUGCCUGGAUUACAUGUGUGUGGAGUUUGCAUGUUCUCCCCGUGUCCUCGUGGGGUUUCCUCCGGGUACUCCGGUGUACCCCCACAAUCAAAAACAUGCUGAGGCUAAUUGGAGUUACUAAAUUGCCCAUAGGUGUGCAUGUGAGAGUGAAUGGUAUGUGAGUGUUACCUGUGAUGGGCUGGCCCCCCAUCCUAGGUUGUUCCCUGCCUCGUGCCCAUUUUAUUGACAUAAAAGUCUGUUCCUCUAAUUAUAGAAUAAUAUAUAGAAUAAUUAUACAAGAGCUAUAAUUAUUAUGAUGUUAUUAUUUAAUUGUGUGGGCCGUGUUGCUUGAUUACAUUUGACUCUUCGGCACGUGGGACGCUGCCGGUUUGAAAGACGCAGCUUCACUUGUUUUCUGCACCAAGAUGACGAGAAACAAACGAAUUGCAAAAGCUGUCAGCUGGAGCAACGAUCGAUACUGGGCAACUUGGGACAAGUGGAUGGAAGUGAUUGACUGGGAAGAUGAGGAAGAGCUGUGCUCCCCAGCAGAAUCACCCUCUGACCAGGCUGACCGUUCCAUCGUGUCACACACCCGAAAGCCAAUUGCCAAGGCAGUUAGCUGGACGGAUGAUGUGUAUUGGGCAGCCUGGGACAAGUGGGAUGAGAUCAUCUGCUGGGGUGAAGAAGGAGAGUGCUCCCCAGCAACUCCACCCAUCAACCAGCCUGGGAGGGAUAAGGGGUUAGACAUGCAUGGGUUAGAGGUUUUUCUGUUAAAUGAAAGGACAGUCUCCAUAAAGCCUGCAGAUGACCACCAAGACAGGCUGAAAAUAGGAGCCGUAGUGGUCGACCUCUGCCAGUUUGAGCUAGAUGGUGUAAAUGAUAAAUUUGAAAUUGUCGAAAUACAAAUUGGAGAGGUCAAAUUGGAGGAGACUGCAGAGAGGGGUUUUAAUUCAGAAUUUGAAUUGGAAAUUUUGGAUGUGGAGAUAGAGGUUGUAGACAGUGAAUUCCAGCUGAAUGCUCUUAAUUGGGAAAUUGCUGGAACUAAAGUGGACAAAUUAUUAGUGGAACACCUGAACAUAAAUAAUCUAGAAGCAGGCAGUGUGAAGGUGUCCACAUCAAAUGGGAAUGUGGUAUAUGUCAAUGGUAUGUGAGUGUGUUUGGUAAUGAUGGGUGUGAAUGGUGUGUGUAAGUGGUGUGUGUGUGUGUGUGUGUGUGUAUGAGAAUGGUGAUUGAAUGGUGUGUGUGAGGUAAUGGCGUGUGAGUGAAUGGUGUGUGUGAGUGACAGGUGUGUGAAUGGUGUGUGUGAGGUAAUGGCAUGUGUGAGUGAGUGUGAGUGGUAAUGGCGUGUGUGAGUGAAUGGUGUGUGUGAGUAUAUGGUGUAUGUGAAUGGUCUAUGUGUGUGUGAAUGGGGAGUGAAUGGUGUGUGAGUGACUGGUGUGUGUCUGGUGUUUAUGAAUGGUGUGUGUGAGUGAAUGGUGUGUGAAUGGUGUGUGUGAGGUAAUGGCAUGUGUGAGUGAGUGUGAGUGGUAAUGGCGUGUGUGAGUGAAUGGUGUGUGUGAGUAUAUGGUGUAUGUGAAUGGGGAGUGAAUGGUGUGUGAGUGACUGGUGUGUGUCUGGUGUUUAUGAAUGGUGUGUGUGAGUGAAUGCUGUGUGAAUGGUGUUUAUGAAUGGUGUGUGUGUGAGUGAAUGCUGUGUGAGUGACUGGUGUGUGAAUGGUGUUUAUGAAUGGUGUGUGAAUGAAUGGUGAGUUUUUGUGUGUGUGUGUGUGUGUGUGUGUGUGUGUGUGUGUGUGUGUGUGUGUGAAUGAUCUGUGUGUGUGAGCCUGCCCUGUGAUGGGUUGGUGUCCCAUCCUGGGUUGUUCCCUGCCUCGUGCCUGUAGCCUCUGGGAUCCAUCUGACCGCCUGUUCCAAAAGGCAAAUUGAUCCCCACAUCCCUGAACAGGAGAAGCGGUUUUAGAAAAUGGAUAAAUGUUCCCAGAGGUGUGAGGCAACAGUGCUAACCACUGUACCAUGCAUAUGUAUAGGAUAUGUAGAAGAAUACCUGUUGCAGUUAUCUGAUGUGUGUGUUUUUCACUCUCCCUGCCGGCCCCUGGAGGUUUGGGCUUCCCCUUUGAGUCUGGUGCCUCCCAAGGUUUCUUCCUUCUAGGGAGUUUUUCCUUGCCACUGUCGCCUAUGGCUUACUCACUGGGGGCUUUGGGUGGGGGUGCUCUAAAGCGCUUUGAGACAAUGUAAUGUUGUGAUAUCGUGCUAUACUUUGUUGUGUAAUUUUCUAUUUACUCAUGCAAAUAAAUAAUUGUUUGAUAACAAAAA